rnacentral:lncRNA from 1 species
CUGAGGAGUGCAUGACAGGUGCUCGUGGGAUGACAGGGCUCGGGGCCCUCCAGCUGCUGCUGCUGCCACCGCUUGUCCUGCUGGGCGGCCACCCCGUCCCAGGGAGGAAGAGCACUCACGGCUGCUACUGAUCUCCUUUGAGGGCUUCCACUGAGACUAGGAUCAGGAUGUGGACACCCCCAACCUGGAUGGUCUGGCUGGGGAGGGCGUCAAGGCCAAGUACCUCAUGCCGCCCUUUGUCACGAUGACCUCCCCGUCCCACUUCACCGCCAUCCCGGAUCACAAAGGCCUUUUGCCUGUGCUUUCUGCCCUGCUCUCUCCAGCCCCAGGGCCUUGGCCUGUGCUAGUCCAGUCCCUCCAGCUCACCAGGAGCAUGCAGUCCAGUCGGGGAGACAGACACCAGACACCCUAACAGGCACAUACAUCCCGUGACAACUCAGGAGGCACCAAGGAGGAAAACGAGUUUUCCAGGCACAGACUACAGGGAUGCCAGGAGCACCAC